CCUUCUGCCUUCUCCUCAUCAACCUCCUCAUCCUCGGGCAGACCAGUGUGCUCGGCGAGUUGUGCAACCUUGCUCUUCAAGAACUGCAUAUCUUCAGGGAGAGCGGCAAUAGCAGCAUUUCUGGUAGUACGCCUAUCCAAACAGGCGAUGAACUGCGCACGACCUUC
rnacentral:ribozyme from 1 species